GGCCAAUCAGCUCGCGCUGGCCUCGCAUGAUGUCACGCGCCAGCUAGCUCUCGGAAGAAAAGCCACCUGCGCCGCGCGCUCCGCUCCUCCCCGCCGGAUGCAACCGAGAAAACACGGACGCGUUAGUUUUCAGCUUUAAAGUUUGUUUUAUAGGAAUUAACGGCGUGACAUACGGUCACACACAGUACAAAAGUGUAAAUCUCGGCGAGUGUUUUUGUCCGCGCCGAAGCUUCGAGGAGUUCUCGCGAGAGAGUUUGAGGCUUAAUAACAGUCGUCUGGCUGACGUGGAUCCUCCCUCAGUCCUGCAGUGAUCUGAAAGAAGCUGCAAGGCAUGGAGGGUAAGACCAGACUUUGUUCUACAUGUCUUGUGUAGAUUGUGUGGAUAAAAUCUCACAGUCUUCUUCUUUCAUUACUAUACAAGCUCAUAGUUGAUGGUCUAAACGAAGCACUAGAACUCAGUACUGAACUUUAGUGUGUAACACAGGCCGCACUAUUUGUGCUCCGGACAUGAAUGAUUCCUCAAGUUCAACUAAUGUGUC